rnacentral:rRNA from 1 species
UACAGAGGGUGCAAGCGUUGUUCGGAAUUACUGGGCGUAAAGCGCGUGUAGGUGGCGAUGUAAGUCGGGUGUGAAAUCCCUUGGCUCAACCAAGGAAGUGCACUCGAUACUGUGUCGCUUGAGUAUCGGAGGGGACGGCGGAAUUCCCGGUGUAGAGGUGAAAUUCGUAGAUAUCGGGAGGAACACCUGUGGCGAAGGCGGCCGUCUGGACGAUUACUGACACUGAGACGCGAAAGCGUGGGUAGCAAACAGGAUUAGAUACCCUGGUAGUCCACGCUGUAAACGAUGAGUGCUAGACGUCAUGGGUAUUGACCCCUGUGGUGUCGAAGUUAACACGUUAAGCACUCCGCCUGGGGAGUACGGUCGCAAGAUUAAA